rnacentral:rRNA from 1 species
AGGGCACCACCAGGAGUGGAGCCUGCGGCUUAAUUUGACUCAACACGGGAAAACUCACCCGGCCCGGACGCCGUAAGGAUUGACAGACUGAGAGCUCUUUCUUAAUUCGGUGGGUGGUGGUGCAUGGCCGUUCUUAGUUGGUGGAGCGAUUUGUCUGGUUAAUUCCGAUAACGAACGAGACUCUGGCCUAUUAAAUAGACGAUGUAUCGAAAAGUAUGUCGCGCUUCUUAGAGGGACAAGCGGCGUCUAGCCGCAUGAAAUAGAGCAAUAACAGGUCUGUGAUGCCCUUAGAUGUCCGGGGCUGCACGCGCGCUACACUGAAAGAAUCAGAGGGCGCAUUGCCUAGUCCGGAAGGAUUGGGUAACCCAAGUAAAUUCUUUCGUGCUUGGGAUAGGGAGUUGCAAUUAUUUCCCUUAAACGAGGAAUUCCCAGUAAAUGCGGGUCAUAAGCCCGCGUUGAUUACGUCCCUGCCCUUUGUACACACCGCCCGUCGCUACUACCGAUUGGAUGACUUAGUGA